rnacentral:misc_RNA from 1 species
UGUGGGAGCGAGCUUGCUCGCGAUGAGGCAGCACAUUCAGCAUUGAUGCAAGCUGAUCCACCGCCAUCGCGAGCAAGCUCGCUCCCACA